rnacentral:tRNA from 1 species
GUUGUCGUGGCCUAAUGGUUAAGGUGAUAGACUAGAAAUCAUUUGGGAUCCGCCCGCGCAGGUUCGAAUUCUGCCGACAACG